CAGCACCUCAAGUGGUCAGGAUGAUUAUUGGGCCUAAAGCAUCCGUAGCCGGCUCUGUAAGUUUUCGGUUAAAUCUGUACGCUCAACGUACAGGCUGCCGGGAAUACUGCAGAGCUAGGGAGUGGGAGAGGUAGACGGUACUCGGUAGGAAGGGGUAAAAUCCUUUGAUCUAUUGAUGACCACCUGUGGCGAAGGCGGUCUACCAGAACACGUCCGACGGUGAGGGAUGAAAGCUGGGGGAGCAAACCGGAUUAGAUACCCCUGUAGUCC
rnacentral:rRNA from 1 species